rnacentral:lncRNA from 1 species
CUGGCUUCUCUUACUAUGGCUCUAAUGGACUACUGAAUUCACAGAGAAUGGAACCAAUGGAUUUCUAAGCAUAAAAUCCCCUUUUUGUUUAAAUGGCAAUGUCGCUGGAUGUAGAACAGGUGUCUCAAAAGAACAUAAGGAUUAAAUGGCUGUCAUGCCUUCUAUGGGGACAGUACUAAGCUAGAAUUUGUCUCUUCAGGGUGGUUUCCUCCCAACUGUUGAAAGUGGAGUUUACCUGCCUAUAAAUAGGGCAUGGGGUCUGACUACUGAUAGAGGGAUGCAAGAGGGAAAGGAUUUGGGGAACUAGAGGUUUGGGACAAAGGGAUGAUAAAGCCCCCUAUGAAGAAAAAUUCCAUUUCACUAGGUGGCAUGGCAGAGACUGAAAUGUUUGGUUAAAACUUUGACUCCAAAUUAUUUCCAGGCAGAGGUUAGAGAGGUGUGAGGCUUGGUAGGCUGUCCCCACAAUAUGCCUACUGGCAGGAAAAAAAUUGAUUUGUCUCAUGGAGGAACUUUUUGAAUUCAUUGGGCAGUGCUGAGUUCUUACAUGGAGGAAAAAAAACAACCCAAAUGGAGAAAAGAGUAUUCACUCAGGGUGAAAUAUCCCCCUAUACAGUGUGAUGAAUGACUACCACUGGUUGACAAAAAGGCCCUUACUAGGUGAAAGUUUAGACUGAAAUCUUGAAAUCACCCCAUCCCAAGAAAAUCACAGAAGCAGCAAUUCUUUGAGUUACAUUCCUGGUUACUAAGACAUUUGCUAACUUUACCCAACAAGAUUAUCUCCCCAGGCUGUAAAAACUCCCUUAAUAUAGCAUACAAAAAAGGGAUAGGAGACAUGAAAGCUACAAAAAAGAAAGGAAGAAAAUGUGAUAAGAAAAUCUGGAAGUCCUGGUGCCAAUACCCUGAUGGCCUGCUCCCCAGGACCUCCUUCCAGCCCCACGCAAUUGCUAGGCCCUCCAUGAAA